rnacentral:rRNA from 1 species
UACGUAGGGUGCAGGCGUUAAUCGGAAUUACUGGGCGUAAAGCGUGCGUAGGUGGUUCGUUAAGUCUGAUGUGAAAGCCCUGGGCUCAACCUGGGAAUGGCAUUGGAUACUGGCGGGCUAGAGUGCGGUAGAGGGCAGUGGAAUUCCCGGUGUAGCAGUGAAAUGCGUAGAGAUCGGGAGGAACAUCUGUGGCGAAGGCGACUGCCUGGACCAGCACUGACACUGAGGCACGAAAGCGUGGGGAGCAAACAGG